rnacentral:rRNA from 1 species
CGGCGGACGGGUGAGUAACGCGUGGAUAACCUGCCUCAUACAGGGGGAUAACAGUUAGAAAUGACUGCUAAUACCGCAUAAGCGCACAGGACCGCAUGGUCCGGUGUGAAAAACUCCGGUGGUAUGGGAUGGAUCCGCGUCUGAUUAGCUGGUUGGUGAGGUAACGGCCCACCAAGGCGACGAUCAGUAGCCGACCUGAGAGGGUGGCCGGCCACAUUGGGACUGAGACACGGCCCAAACUCCUACGGGAGGCAGCAG